rnacentral:rRNA from 1 species
UACGUAGGUGGCAAGCGUUGUCCGGAAUUACUGGGCGUAAAGGGCGUGUAGGCGGCUAUUUAAGUCAGACGUGAAAACUCCGGGCUUAACUUGGAGAUUGCGUUUGAAACUGGAUGGCUAAUGAGGAUCGGAGAGGGCAGUGGAAUUCCCAGUGUAGCGGUGAAAUGCGUAGAUAUUGGGAGGAACACCAGUGGCGAAGGCGGCUGCCUGGACGACACCUGACGCUGAGGAGCGAAAGCUAGGGGAGCAAACGGG